GACGAACGCUGGCGGCGUGCUUAACACAUGCAAGUCGAACGGAAAGGCCCUGCUUUUGUGGGGUGCUCGAGUGGCGAACGGGUGAGUAACACGUGAGUAACCUGCCCUUGACUUUGGGAUAACUUCAGGAAACUGGGGCUAAUACCGGAUAGGAGCUCCUGCUGCAUGGUGGGGGUUGGAAAGUUUCGGCGGUUGGGGAUGGACUCGCGGCUUAUCAGCUUGUUGGUGGGGUAGUGGCUUACCAAGGCUUUGACGGGUAGCCGGCCUGAGAGGGUGACCGGCCACAUUGGGACUGAGAUAGGGCCCAGAGUCCUACGGGAGGCAGGAGUGGGGAAUAUUGCACAAUGGGCGGAAGCCUGAUGCAGCAACGCCGCGUGCGGGAUGACGGCCUUCGGGUUGUAAACCGCUUUCGCCUGUGACGAAGCGUGAGUGGGGGUAAUGGGUAAAGAAGCACGGGCUAACUACGUG
rnacentral:rRNA from 1 species